rnacentral:rRNA from 1 species
UACAUGCCCUUCAGUGGGGAAUAGCCCAGGGAAACUUGGAUUAAUACCCCAUGGUAUCGCAAGAUUAAAGGUGGCCAGCAGUUAAAUGUUGGCUACCGCUGAAGGAUUGGUUCGCACCCUAUCAGCUUGUUGGUGAGGUAAUGGCUCACCAAGGCUACGACGGGUACCUGGUCUGAGAGGACGAUCAGGCACACUGGAACUGAGACACGGUCCAGACACCUACGGGUGGCAGCAGUCGAGAAUAAUUCACAAUGGGGGCAACCCUGAUGGUGCAACGCCGCGUGGAG